rnacentral:lncRNA from 1 species
UGCUCUGUAAUUUCACACAGGCGCGGCGCGGCGGCGAUUCCCCACCGGCGAUAUGUCGACGGACGGACUUGAGCUCGACGGGUAUGUUCCUAUUGCUUCAAUGGUCUCUCUUCCCCCGAGUUCCUUCUCCCGUUCUUUUGCAAAGUUCAUCUACUGAUGCUGCUAGAUCUUGGUCGCAGGAGGGGGGAGCACACAUCGGCGGAUGGGGUUGUGAUGUGUUUCCAGUGGAAUCCCAAGAUUCCAUGAGUGCACCAGUUCUUGAGCUCGAGAAGGGCGAUGAAGGACGUGGAGAUGGACACAGUUAUGAGGUCUGCUUUGAAGCUACCAGCGGCCGAACGAGGAGGUGCGUUUUUUCCUGGUCCCAAUCAUGCUUUAUUCGCAGCUGUUGAGCUUAAACUGCUACUCCCAGUUUAGUUCAGUUUCUGAUGUGUCGAGGCAUAAACAGGAUUUUGUUCUAAGGCAUCUCCCUUUCUAGGGGAAGCAUAGUAGAGUUAUCAUAGUUAGAAUUGUGAGUUGCACAGACAUCGGCUCCUCGUAACCUUUUUUUUAUGAUUAGCAAGCAGUGUAGUAUGGAUGUACAAUCUGGGUUGUGUGGGACGCUCCUUUUUGAUUAUAGGAUUACCGAGAAUAUGAUGUUAUGGUGCUAGAUAAAAUUCUCGUUUGUGGAUUUAGCACGCUGCAAAAGGAAACAAAAUUAACAUGUGCAUCGGUUUGGAGGUUUGAUUUUGUAAUUAUAGCUGGUAUCGGGUGUGGAUCGUAACAACAAAUUAAGGUUGACAUUGAGGAUGUGUUUAUUCUAUAUGUAAUCCUUUUGUUCAGUCUGUGGGCAAAGAAAAAUAGAGCACUUAGGUGGUUCCCCGCUCCGGCGGCGGCUCAACUCCAAUCUGCAGAACACCGGAUCUGCCAAGGGCAAGGCCCUCGUCCACGGAUCUAGAGGGGAAAAAUCAUUUUCUUCGUUGUUUCGGUCGGUGAGGCUGUAUCACACGUCAAUUACUUGCGCUUUUCUCCUAGCUAUUGUUCAUCAGUUUCAGAUUUGAACUUUUUUGGUGAUUUUUAUUUUGUUCCAUCUAUUCCUUUGGUACGGGUGAUCUAGCUGUAUGGCUCGAUCGAGAUGCAUAUCACUUUUCUUGUUGACUCCGAAAUAGACUGCUCUCCUUUAUUUUCUUGUAAUCCCCUUCCAUCUAUUCCUUCUGUACAAAUGUGGUUUUCUUUUGUUUACUUGUAAUCCCCUUUGUCCGGAUUGGAUAGGUCUCUCCUCAUCUUGUUGUUGCGCAGAUCCGAAUUUGCCGUGAUGUAUUUUUAGACAAUAUAGAGAAUUUUUUUAUUCAUACCCAUGCUUAUGUGCGAGACCGGCUUAAUUUUUGUGAUUUAUUAGAUUCCUCUAACUUGGAUAAUCGAUGGUUAAUCGUACUGGAACUUAAUAGUAGAUUUGAUGUUCUGUUCUUGAUGUGCUAAUCCAAGGUUGAUAAUUAUUUCAUUCAAGUGGGGUAAAGUUUGAAUUCCUACCACUGAUUGCAAAGAUCUUCUGUUCCAUGGAUUUCAGUUUGGUUUGUUGACCCCUUUCCACUACAGUCACAGAACUGAGCAAUGUUGAUGGUCAAGUGUGCCGUGGCGGCGAGGCCACAUUCCUUGCCGGAAACGCUGGUUCGGGAGCUACAAGUGGCUGGACAAGAAGGUAUUUCAGAUUAAAAUGUUAUGAUCCAAAAAAACCUUUAAUUCAGAACAUAGUAUGUGCCGGCCUUGUUCUUGGUUAGAUUUUGAAUACAACCACAUUUCACUCCCGAAAUCAGUAUCAUACGAAAUCAAAAUCCGUGGCUUCUGUGCCCCUUGUGCAAGAAACAUUCUAUGUGUUAGAUAUUUGGAAAUAAUAUGAUGAUGCAUGGAUGGGUUUUCUUUAUUCACAAAAUGAAUUUUACAUGUCGGAAUGCAUUGCCUGAUUGGCUUGUUCCUUGUUCACUGCACAACUUACUUCGGAGCAUCCUCUAAUGAAGCGACUUUUUGUUCUGUUCUUGAUCAGAAUCAUGCUGAUAUGGUCUGUAUCCUGAACCCUGAAGUAGAAGGCGUUUAAUCCGAUGCAUUUUCCUACUGUUGUGAUCUUGUAAUAUUGCCUUCUGGCCAAAUCAGCAAAAUCCCUGUUUGAAGCUGCGCAAGCUCUGUUUCUUUGGCUGUUGUUCCCUCUCAGCAAUCCAUUCGACUCGGGUAUAUGUUUGUAAUUAUUGUAAUGGAUUUGUACCAUUUGUGAACCAUGUCAAAUUGUUAAGGUGGGUGAUGGGUAUUACAACUAUGUAUGCAUGGUUGCUAGUUCUGUGCGUAGAACUUGAUCUGUGUAUUAGUCAAAACCGACACAUGUUGUGUGUUAGCUUAACAGGAAGAAACUGCAAUUGUCAAUGAGAGCAAUAUGUCGAGAAGGGAGACGGCCCAGUAGUCUAAUGAUUUCUGUAACGGAGUGUUUGAAUCAUCUUCGUCUGGCAAACUAUUGUUAAUU